rnacentral:tRNA from 1 species
GCGCCUCGUCACGGCACACACCAGGUGCCUUCUAAGCACUUGGCCGCAGGUUCGAGUCCUGCCGGGGGCA